GAUGAACGCUAGCUACAGGCUUAACACAUGCAAGUCGAGGGGUAGCAGGGUAGCAAUACCGCUGACGACCGGCGCACGGGUGAGUAACACGUAUCCAACCUUCCCAUAACUCGGGGAUAGCCUUUCGAAAGAAAGAUUAAUACCCGAUAGUACUUAACAAAGGCAUCUUUGAUAAGUUAAAGAUUUAUCACUUGAAGAUGGCUGUGCGGCUGAUUAGGUAGUUGGCGGGGUAACGGCCCACCAAGCCUGCGAUCAGUAACUGGUGUGAGAGCACGACCAGUCACACGGGCACUGAGACACGGGCCCGACUCCUACGGGAGGCAGCAGUAAGGAAUAUUGGUCAAUGGACGAAAGUCUGAACCAGCCAUGCCGCGUGGAGGAUGAAGGUCCUCUGGAUUGUAAACUUCUUUUAUAUGGGACGAAAAAAGGCUUUUCUAAGUCGUCUGACGGUACCAUAUGAAUAAGCACCGGCUAACUCCGUGCCAGCAGCCGCAGUAAUAC
rnacentral:rRNA from 1 species